rnacentral:lncRNA from 1 species
CCCCCCGCUACCCGCGGCCCCGCUGGCUUCCUCGCCCCCCUCCCCUGGCCCGGGUGGGACGGCUUCCUCAAGCCCCAGCGUCACCAGCACCAAGGACCCUCGGCUCCUCCCCAGACCCUGCCACCCACCUCCCCCCCCCCCGGGGGGGGGGCCCCCCCCCCGGGGGGGGGGGGGGGGGGCCUGUCCCCCUAGAUCUCUGCCUUCUACCCCACAACCCCCACCCCCAGAGCAGCUCAGGCCCCUCUCCUGUCCUCAGUCUGCAUGGACCCAGCCCCUCCCUGACCAUGCCUCCCCUGCACUCCUCCUCCAAACUGGACAGACUGACACUGCCUGUGCUUGGUCUGAUCCCGGCCCAGGCACCCAGGGGGCUGGCCCCGGCUCCCCUCACUGCCCAGCUCUAGGGCGGGCUGUUUUCUGAGACCAGAUGCCCUGUGACCACAAGUGGACACGGGCGGGGGAGAGCCAGGGCCUGGGCCUCCCCACCUCCGCCCGCUGCCCAUCCCGGCUUCUGAAAGUCCCCAAGAUGAGAGAACAAGGGAGCGAGUGUGUGGAGAAAACUCCCUGGGGAACUCCCGGGGUAGGGGGCCUGGGACCCUCCUGGGGGCGCCUGCAGACGGGAGCCCCACCCAGGGGCCACACCGGCCCUCGGGGCUGGCACCCGGGCCCCCGGGCGAUGGCGGAGGCGGGAGGGCCGGGAGCCGGGGUCCCGCGCUCACCCUGGUGGCUGAGGACAGUGCGGCAGCCAACGCAGCAGCUCCGGCGUUUGGCGAAGGCCAGCAGGCCGCCCACCUUGCC